UACAGAGGGUGCAAGCGUUAAUCGGAAUUACUGGGCGUAAAGCGUGCGUAGGUGGUUCGGUCAGUCAGAUGUGAAAGCCCUGGGCUCAACCUGGGAACUGCAUUUGAUACUGCUGAGCUAGAGUUUGGUAGAGGGAAGUGGAAUUCCACGUGUAGCGGUGAAAUGCGUAGAUAUGUGGAGGAACACCAGUGGCGAAGGCGGCUUCCUGGACUAAAACUGACACUGAGGCACGAAAGCGUGGGGAGCAAACAGG
rnacentral:rRNA from 1 species